GUGUCAGCAGCCGCGGUAAUACGGAGGAUCCAAGCGUUGUCCGGAUUUAUUGGGUUUAAAGGGUGCGUAGGCGGACUGAUAAGUCAGGGGUGAAAGCCGGUAGCUCAACUAUCGAAUUGCCUUUGAAACUGCCAGUCUUGAGUUUUGUUGAGGUAGGCGGAAUGUAUCAUGUAGCGGUGAAAUGCAUAGAUAUGAUACAGAACACCGAUUGCGAAGGCAGCUUACUAAGCAAAUACUGACGCUGAGGCACGAAAGCGUGGGGAUCAAACAGGAUUAGAUACCCCAGUAGUCC
rnacentral:rRNA from 1 species